CUUGCUUUCUUUGCUGGCGACCGGCGCACGGGUGAGUAACACGUAUCCAACCUGCCGAUAACUCGGGGAUAGCCUUUCGAAAGAAAGAUUAAUACCCGAUGGUAUAAUAAAGCCGCAUGGUUUAAUUAUUAAAGAAUUUCGGUUAUCGAUGGGGAUGCGUUCCAUUAGUUUGUUGGCGGGGUAACGGCCCACCAAGACUACGAUGGAUAGGGGUUCUGAGAGGAAGGUCCCCCACAUUGGAACUGAGACACGGUCCAA
rnacentral:rRNA from 1 species